rnacentral:rRNA from 1 species
UGGUGGGUAGUUUGACUGGGGCGGUCUCCUCCUAAAGAGUAACGGAGGAGCACGAAGGUUGGCUAAUCCUGGUCGGACAUCAGGAGGUUAGUGCAAUGGCAUAAGCCAGCUUGACUGCGAGCGUGACGGCGCGAGCAGGUGCGAAAGCAGGUCAUAGUGAUCCGGUGGUUCUGAAUGGAAGGGCCAUCGCUCAACGGAUAAAAGGUACUCCGGGGAUAACAGGCUGAUACCGCCCAAGAGUUCAUAUCGACGGCGGUGUUUGGCACCUCGAUGUCGGCUCAUCACAUCCUGGGGCUGAAGUAGGUCCCAAGGGUAUGGCUGUUCGCCAUUUAAAGUGGUACGCGAGCUGGGUUUAGAACG